rnacentral:lncRNA from 1 species
AAUUCAGAUGGGAGAACAGUGAAAAAUAAAUUUUGAAAAAGUAUUUCGAGAAUAAAAAAGGGGGGGAGCAAAAUUUCUUUGAUUAUUCAUCAGUCUGAUUUCUAUGUAACAUAGCCUUACAGAUGAACAAACCUGACCGUGAUCUAAAUGGCCCAAUUAAAAGGCAAUUGGACAUAUACAUGCAUAUGUUUGCAUGCAUAUACACGAAUACACUAAUAUAUGUAUGUAUAUAUACAUGUAGAUAUAUGUAUAUACAUAUGUAUCAUGUCCAUAUUAAAAUAAUAUGGAGUUUAUUAAAUAUGUUGGUGCAUUUUGUAAUGAUGGGGAGUAAGACAAAAGAACCAUUGGGGGAAAUGGAAAUGUUGAGACUUCUACAGUUGCAUGAGGCAGGAAUGACAGUUGGAAACUGGACAAAGACUUCUGGGAAAUUCUCUGGAGGAGGGGGUCCUGAGGGUGGAGACACAUAGAAGGGAAUGGAAGGAGGAGCUGUUUCUCUAGGCCAUUUGAGACAACUUUGGGUUUUUUCUCUGGAUGUGGAUAGCGUUCUUUCUCAUAAUUUCCACUGGAUUGUCCUGGAUCAUCACAUUGCUACUAGUAGAAAAACCGGUUACAUUUGCUUAUGCCAAAAUGUUUCAGUCUCUGUGUACAAUGUUCUCCUGCUUCUGCUCCUUUCACUGCACCAGUUCCUGAAGUUCUUUCCAGUUCACAUGGAAUUCCUCCAGUUCAUUCCUUUCAGCACAAAAGUAUUCCAUCACCAUCAGAUGCCGCAAUUUGUUCAGCUAUUCCCCAAUCAACAGAUAACCCCUCAUUUUCCAAUAUUUUGCCAUCACAGAAAGUGUAACUAUAAAUAUUUUUGUACAUGUCUUUUUCUUUAUUAUCUCUGUGGGGUACAAACCCAGCAGUGGUAUGGUUGGGUGAAAGGGUAGGAAUUCAUUUAAAGCCCUUUGCACAUAAUUCCAAAUUGAACUCCAGGAUGGUAGGACCAAUUCACAACUUUACCAGCAAUGCAUUAAUGUCUAGACUUUGCCACAUCCCCUCCAACAUUUAUUACUUUCCUUUGCUGUCAUGUUAGCCAGUUUGCUAAGUGUGAGGUGUUUCAUGUGCUUUUUGAUAGCUUUGAUUUCAUCAUGUGAAAACUGCCUAUUCAUGUCCCUUGACCAUUUGUCGAUUGGGAAUGGCUUGAUUUUUUUGUAAAUUUGACUUAGGUCAUUAUUUAUUUGGGAAAUUAAGCCUUUGUCAGAGAGUUUUGUUAAUUUUUUUUUCUAAUUUUGGUUGCACUGGUUUUGUUUGAACAAAAUCUUUUUAAUUUGUUAUAACCAAAGUCAUUCAUUUUACAUUUUUUAAUAUUCUCUCUCUCUUGCUUGGUCUUAAAUUCCUUCCUUUCCCAUAGAUAUUACAGGUAUAUUAUUCUAUGUUCACCUAAUUUGCUUAUGAUUUCAUUCUUUAUAUUUAAGUCAUUUAGCCAUUUUGAAUUUAUCUUGGUAUAGGGUGUGAGAUGUUUAUCUAAACCUGAUUUUUCCCAGACUGUUUUCAAAUCUUCCCAGCAGUUUUUCUCAAAGAGUGAACUCUUGUCCCCAACGCUGGGAUCUUUGGGUUU